UGUGGCCUGCAGGGGUUCCGCUUCUCCCGUGGCACAGCCUGUGGCAAUGGAGUCUGGAGUCCCCUCAGUUUGCUGGCUCAAGGAAGACAACUUCCAAGAUAGGAAGAGUGGGAGAGCUUGUCAGGAGUCCUUGUAAAAGCUGUGCACUGCUCUCCAGGACUGAGGGGAAGUCCCUCAGUUCAAGCCUUCCUAUAUGCAUUCCCUCAUCCCAGCAUGUGCCUGUGGAACUUGACACUUCCUGCACAUUAAAAGAGCCAUUUGUUCUGUAAAGAAAUUACAGAAUCAGCUCGGAAAAGGCCUCUGAGAUAGACAUUUCAGAGGAGUUCUUGUAUGCUCCUGAACACAGGAGCUGUUCCCUUGCUGUGUCACGAUAGAACUGCCACCAUGGCUAAAGGGCACUUGGGUGAAGCUUUUCUGGGGAAAGGUUUUCAGUGAGCUCAUGGCAAUUGCUACAUGCAAUCUCUUGAGAAAACUGAAGCACAGGAAAAGGAGGAGCUGUAGCUCCUGCUGGGUGGGGUGGGGCAGAAGCAAUGGGACUUUCUCAGUCCCAGGUUUCUAUGGGUUGAGUGGCCAAAGAGGACAAAAGGUAGACAUCAGGCAGUAUUUUGUGCUGUUGAUGUGCUUGCUGUGUGACACAGGGGUUGCAGCUGGAGUGAUGUAGUGAAAGCAGAAUGCUCUGUCUUUGGGUUGACUUUUUGGUGGGCUUGCCCAGCACAGGCAGUUUUCUUUCAGCAUCUGGUUGUUUUUCCCUUGUGUGUUGCAGGUCACAUCACCCAUGCCUGGAGAGAAUCCGGUCUUUGGGUGAGUGGGAAAGGAGCCUCUGGCCUUGGGAGCAUUUGACAAUUGUGGAGCAAGCUGUGAGCUGGGCCUGUUGCAGUCCAGUGCCAGCCUGGUUGCAUGAAUGAAAGUACAGUCCAGACUCUUUGCAGCAAGAGCAGCAGCAGCAGGAGGAGCCUGGGCUGUUUUCUGCAGUUCCUUUUCAGAGCUUUUAAGCAGCUGGAAGUGGGGUUGCCUGGUGCUUUAAGCCAUGAGAGAAUUUCACCUGCACAAGAGAGUGCAGUCCCAUCUAAUUGUCCCAUUUUACUUGAGUUGGAGCAACUUAGAAUCCCAUUUCCCUACAGAUGAUUUCUCCUUAGUGCAUCUGGGUCUAGAGCUGAAUAUAAAGAAGGUCAUGUGUCCCUCAUGCUGCUGUCUGUCUGCAGAGCCCAACACCAACCUCGGAGGCUCCUCUGGCUAUGUGUCUUCCUGCGGAAAAGGCCAAAGAGGAGGAAGAUGCUCCCCAAACUGCACCUGCUGCCACUGCAGGGCCUGAGCAUCCAGCAUCAGUAAGUGGCAGCUCUGGGUAGUGCUGUGGCUACAGCAAAGCAUAGCUGCAAGUUUCUGAUCAGACAGCACCUCCCGUGCCUGGCUGAAGAUGCUGAGGGCUGGAAUCAUUCCAGCCCUUCCCCCAGUCAGUUAGGCUUGGAAAAGGGGAGUGGAACUUGGAUUGUUCAGACAUCUGAACAGUAGGCAGUAGGCACCUUCCUACUGUUCUGAAAGGGGCUGUGAAUUUGUCUUAGCAAGAGACAAGAGGUAGCAUUAAGAUGUCUUUGGAUGCUCCUGGGGUACAAGUGAGGCCCGUGGUGGCCAGUGGCUGUGCAGGCUCCCUGUCCCCUGUGAGGAGAGCAGUGCAAAUAUGCAGUUCAAAAGCUUGCAGGAUAUGAGGUGGCACUGUCCCCAGGAGGGACCUGGCCCUCCCCACAGAGCAGCUGUCAGUAGCUAAAGGAAGAGCUGAGCUGCAGCAGGGCCUGUAGCUGAAUAUAGGUAAGGUUGUGAAUGACAGGUUCUUUCCUGUCCCUCGUGCUGCUGACUGUCCACAGAGCACAAGGGCAGCGUCAGCACCUGCUCUGGCUGCCUCUGUACCCGAGGAAGAGGCUGAAGAGGAGGAAGGUGCCAAUGAACCUGGCCCUGCUGUCAGCCCAGGGCUGGAGCAAACAACACCAGUAAGUGCCCCCUUUGAGUAGCAGUGUCUUUGGUGUCAUUUUGUCCGUCAUGUAAAAGCAGCCUUGGGAUUUUGUGCCUUGAGCUGUUGAAGCAAGCUGCACAAGCUGGGAGGUGAAGAGCCCUGGGUGUGGCCAGCAGUAUCUUCCUAGGGGUGUGCAUUUGAAAUGAGAUGGGAGGGGCAUCUCUGCCAGGCACAUUUGUGACCCAAAUUCAUUUCUUGUCCCAGAGCUCCACCUCCUCUGUCCUGGCAGCUGCAGGAGCUGCAGCUGAAGGCUGGGAAGAAGGCUCCAGUGCCCAGGCUGGAAGCUCAAGCACGAGCAGCUCGUGCACCUGGAGCACGACUAGCUCCUCUGGCAGCAGAGAGCAGCAGCGAGAGAGCACAGAGGACAAGUGCCUGGCCGUGCUGAAGAUGCUGGUGAGCAAGGGAGAUCCUGAGGCGAAAUACACAGAAGUGGAAACUCUUGGCAAAGGGGGUUUCGGCACUGUGUGCAUGGCAGUGGAGUCUGCCACAGGAGAAGAGGUGGCCAUCAAGAAAAUUAGUCUCCUGCAAGAGAGCAGCAGUGAGCUGUGCCUGAAUGAAAUCCAGGUCAUGCGUGGCACUAAGAAUGCCAACCUUGUGAACUAUGUAGACAGCUACCUGGUGGACGAGGAACUCUGGCUCGUGAUGGAAUACAUGGACGGAGGUUCUUUACAUGAUGUCAUCAGGGAGACUCACAUGGCAGAAGGAGAGACAGCAGCUGUCUCUCGGGAGUGCCUGCAAGGCCUGGAUUUCCUGCACUCCAAGCAAGUGAUCCACCGCGAUAUCAAAAGCCACAACAUUCUCCUGGGCUUGGAUGGAUCUGUCAAGUUGGCUGAUUUUGGCCUUGCUGCUCAGCUCACUGCUGAGCAGAGCAAACGGAGAUCAGCUGUUGGGACUACUUACUGGAUGGCGCCAGAAAUUUUCACCAGGAAGCCCUAUGGCCCCAAAGUGGACAUCUGGUCCUUUGGAAUUGUGGGGAUCGAGAUGGUGGAAGGAGCGCCUCCGUACCUGAUGAAAACCUCCCGCACGGUUCAACAGCUGAUAAGCACCGGGGCCCCCCCGAAGCUGCAGAAGCCCAGGCAGCAGUCGGCGUGGCUGCGAGACUUCCUGCACUGCUGCCUGGAGAGGGACGAGGACAGGCGCUGGUCUGCCCAGGAACUUCUGCAGUUUUCCUGUUGUACCCCUCACUUCCCUGAACCCACUAUCCCUGAGAAGGAGAGGAUGGGAGAUGGAACCUGCUCAAGAGCACAGGUGAGCCACCAGUCAUCUGCCAUCUCCCCUCCUUUUCUGUCCUCUUGCCAGGACAGCACUGGCCAUGCCAACCUGGAGUCUACCCUAACCCACUUUCUGACAGCCCUCAGCCCUACUCUUGCCUUCCUACUGUAUUAGCCAUUCCCCAUUUUUGUUGGAAUUCAUGUUUUAGAGAUCAAACUUACAAUGAGAUUUCACAAUAAAACAGCCAGAGGACCGACUCUGUUGCCCCCACAGGAGACCUGUUCCUGGCCCUGCCAGAAGCUCCCCGACAGGCCAGUCUGCCGGGGUCGGCUGCCAGUGGUCUCUGCCCCAGCACGGGAAAAAGUGGUUCUGGGCAGGCCGCACUCUCGAAGAAGGAGUCUGGACUCUUGCUUUUCGGUCUUCAGUUGAGUUUAUUGUUCCUUAUCUACAAAGUUUUUCUGUCUGUCCAGCCGAGGUCUGAUCAGCAAGACAGCCAAGGGCACUCUCUCCCGCCCAUGGGGCGGUUGUCUCUUUUCUAGUAAAAACUACGUAGAAGAUAUUUACCUUUAAUUUCCAAUACUUUUCGCCCUUGUUGGCAAGUGCACUUUCCCUAUGAACCAAUCCACACAUGCCAACAUCAUCCUGAACGUGGAUGCCAAGGAGAAGAAAGAAGAAGGACAGGACAUGCCCAAAUUCCUCCAUCUUAGUACCCCUGACCCCCAUGUACAGAAUUUCAAAACCCCCCUGUACAACAUAUAAAACCCCCCUGUACAGUGUGUUAUAAUUCAAGUUUUAUCAAGUGAGUAUCUUCCCCUCACCAUUCAGGCCUGAAUUUCUCUCAUUUUCUCACAUUCAGGUGUCUUUGGCUUCCUGCCAGGGUCUCUGAGCCCCUGCCAGGGCUCUGAGACAUCCAGGGCAUCCAGAGAGAUGCUCUGGGUUCCGACACUAGUCCUCCAUCAAAGCUUUUCUUUUGAUUUGUGUGUUUGGUGAAGGGCACAGGGGAAGGUGCCACCACAAGUCCUUUUGAUUUUCUGUUCUCUUGUUUUGUGGGUGAGUGAGGGGGAAUGGAGUGGCAGGGAGCAACCUGGGUCUCAGGGCUUUAGAAGCAAGGGGGAAUGGAAAUCAAAUUCUCUUAUUGUUUAGCUGUGCUCUGCAAUAUGAACCCACCUGUUAAUUUAAAUUGUCAAGUUUAGUUAAAGUCUAUUAAGUGUUGUGUUGUUUUUAGUUAAGACAAAAUUAUUAUUUUUACUAUGAUUGUUAUACAUUUAAUUAUAAAUCAAACAAAAAAGGGGGAGUCGUGGGAGCUUGUGCUGGAGGGCAGGGGCCAGGAACUGACCAUACAGCCACAGAUCAGACAAACAACGACCAACACCAAGCCUCAGGAGAAGAGAAGCCACAAGGGAUGACACCCAGACAACUUAUGGGGAGCUUCUCAUGAAGAGCAGAGGACUCUGGAUUGGGAGUGGCCAUGCAGAUCAACAGCCUGCCUGGACCCAUCAGGGCAGAGGGAAAACAGGCAAAUCUUCUUGGAAAGGACUUCAGAAUUCCAUCAUGGAAAUGAAGCACUGUUGACAGAGCACUAGACUCUGAAAGGAUUUGAAAGGGGAGAGGAAGCUCAGCUUGCACAUGAGCCACAAGAAGCUUUCUCCCCACCAGAAUUUUGGCAUCACAAUAGCAGUGCUCCAUGCUGGCCAUCUCUCCCCAGGAUAUCCCCCACGUGCACGCCCCUCCUGCUGGCAAUGGGCUCACUUUGGCUGUCUUGUGGGGCAGAGAAGGGAACAGGCACCCAGAGAGGGAGCAUUUCACUGUGUUUCAGAAAAUGACAGCAGAGCAGCCUUCCUCAGCAAAGUCAUCUGAAAUGACUUAAGAGUCCUAAUAGUCUGGAACGCCUCAAGGUGCUCUCAUACCAGGACCUCACUGCUGCCUCACCUGAGGGUUUACAGCUGCCUCCAGGCCCUUCCAGGCUAAGCGCAGGUGCUCAGGAGUCUGACUUCUUCCUGACAUCUCCCAAGAAAGUCUUUGCCUCAUCUGGAUUUCUUGGGGUUUCAUCAGAGGAACCAGGCACCAGCAAAUUUCAUCUCAAGCGUCAGCUCAUCAUUCCGCUGGUUCCCAUAGACCGCAGAUGCCGCCCUGAGCUCAUGGUUUCUCUGCGUCCCAUAGACCAUCACAGCCCUUCCAUGGCCUCUCCAGAGGGAAGCAGCUGCACAUCUUCAGAGCAGUAUUUGCCAGCCUGCAGUUCAUCAGCCACCCCAGGCACUUCAGGCCCCAGCGCUCCAGCUGGCAGUGCUGGUUUUGCACCAUGGACAGCCCCCAGCUGGCUGUGGAAUACUCCUGGGGAAGAGGAAUUGCCACCACCAGAUCUGGACAUGGUGCUUGAGACGCUGGAGGAGAUGUUUUCUCCCUCUGCUCAGGUAACUGCAUUGGACAGGGAAGAAAAGGGCUGGGAGCUGAGAGCUUGUGAAUGUUGUUGCAUGGCUGAGAAGCAAAGGCUUCUUGAGUUCAGCUCCGUGAAUGGACAGGAAAAGAUUUGCUUGGUGAAACAAGACUUCCUAAAGAAGAGGGAAUGAAAAAGUCUCCCCCUGAAUAAGGAUGAAGAGGUGUGAGCCUGUGUUGGCCAGGUUUGGGUGCCUGUUUUCCUGGGAAGAAUCCCUCGUGCAGGGGUGUUUGUGGUGAGGAAGUGGAAGCUUUGCAGGUUCUAAGAGGCUUUGUUUGGUGGGAAAGAAGAGAAGAGUGUUUGGAGAAUUGCCAAGUGUCCCGUGCAGGGAGGGACAUGGCAGAGGCUGUGCCU